rnacentral:rRNA from 1 species
UACGUAGGGUGCGAGCGUUGUCCGGAAUUAUUGGGCGUAAAGAGCUUGUAGGCGGUCUGUCGCGUCUGCUGUGAAAAUCCGGGGCUCAACCCCGGACUUGCAGUGGGUACGGGCAGACUAGAGUGUGGUAGGGGAGACUGGAAUUCCUGGUGUAGCGGUGAAAUGCGCAGAUAUCAGGAGGAACACCGAUGGCGAAGGCAGGUCUCUGGGCCAAUAUUGACGCUGAGGUGCGAAAGCGUGGGGAGCAAACAGG